rnacentral:rRNA from 1 species
GAUGAACGCUAGCUACAGGCUUAACACAUGCAAGUCGAGGGGCAGCAUUUUAGUUUGCUUGCAAACUGAAGAUGGCGACCGGCGCACGGGUGAGUAACACGUAUCCAACCUGCCGAUAACUCCGGGAUAGCCUUUCGAAAGAAAGAUUAAUACCGGAUAGCAUACGAAUAUCGCAUGAUAUUUUUAUUAAAGAAUUUCGGUUAUCGAUGGGGAUGCGUUCCAUUAGUUUGUUGGCGGGGUAACGGCCCACCAAGACAACGAUGGAUAGGGGUUCUGAGAGGAAGGUCCCCCACAUUGGAACUGAGACACGGUCCAAACUCCUACGGGAGGCAGCAGUGAGGAAUAUUGGUCAAUGGGCGAGAGCCUGAACCAGCCAAGUAGCGUGAAGGAUGAAGGCUCUAUGGGUCGUAAACUUCUUUUAUAUGGGAAUAAAGUAUUCCACGUGUGGAAUUUUGUAUGUACCAUAUGAAUAAGGAUCGGCUAACUCCGUGCCAGCAGCCGCGGUAAUACGGAGGAUCCGAGCGUUAUCCGGAUUUAUUGGGUUUAAGGGAGCGUAGGUGGAUUGUUAAGUCAGUUGUGAAAGUUUGCGGCUCACCGUAAAAUUGCAGUUGAAACUGGCAGUCUUGAGUACAGUAGAGGUGGGCGGAAUUCGUGGUGUAGCGGUGAAAUGCUUAGAUAUCACGAAGAACUCCGAUUGCGAAGGCAGCUCACUAGACUGUCACUGACACUGAUGCUCGAAAGUGUGGGUAUCAAACAGGAUUAGAUACCCUGGUAGUCCACACAGUAAACGAUGAAUACUCGCUGUUUGCGAUAUACAGUAAGCGGCCAAGCGAAAGCAUUAAGUAUUCCACCUGGGGAGUACGCCGGCAACGGUGAAACUCAAAGGAAUUGACGGGGGCCCGCACAAGCGGAGGAACAUGUGGUUUAAUUCGAUGAUACGCGAGGAACCUUACCCGGGCUUAAAUUGCAACAGAAUAUAUUGGAAACAGUAUAGCCGUAAGGCUGUUGUGAAGGUGCUGCAUGGUUGUCGUCAGCUCGUGCCGUGAGGUGUCGGCUUAAGUGCCAUAACGAGCGCAACCCUUAUCUUUAGUUACUAACAGGUCAUGCUGAGGACUCUAGAGAGACUGCCGUCGUAAGAUGUGAGGAAGGUGGGGAUGACGUCAAAUCAGCACGGCCCUUACGUCCGGGGCUACACACGUGUUACAAUGGGGGGUACAGAAGGCGGCUACCUGGUGACAGGAUGCUAAUCCCAAAAACCUCUCUCAGUUCGGAUCGAAGUCUGCAACCCGACUUCGUGAAGCUGGAUUCGCUAGUAAUCGCGCAUCAGCCAUGGCGCGGUGAAUACGUUCCCGGGCCU